AAGUUAAACUUGAUAAUUUGAAAUUAUCUAAAAAAAUUAAUUAAUUUUUUAACUUU
rnacentral:tRNA from 1 species